AAGUUGAUUAGGGAUUUUGAAAGGUUUUGAAGGAGUCAAAGCUUAUAGGAAGGUCCAAACCUUAAGCAAGAACACCAAAGAGGUAAGUGCAAGGGCAAGGCAGAGCAGUGAGCGCUGGAGUCUUCCUUGCAAAUGUACAUGUGGACCGACCUUUUGGGAAGCCUUUUUAUUUUUGGAAAUGUUGUGUAAUUUUCCUAAACUAGGCUCACUCUAAUCUUUAUAAAACAUGUUUGUAACUAAAUGUUAAGUAUGGCCAUACGACUUUUUAAAAAGUUUUUUUUCUAUGGGUUUUUGAGA